rnacentral:ncRNA from 1 species
AUAAACAAUAGUUUACAGUUUAUAUUCCAUUUAUUUGUUUUCUCUUGAUUGGUUUGUGGCUUAUUAUUGCAACAGCUUGUGCCUUCGGGAACGCGGACACAGGUGGUGCAUGACCGUCGUCAGCUCGUGCCGUAAGGUGUUGGGUUAAGUCCCACAACGAGCGUAACCCUCGUGUUUAGUUGCCACCGUUGAGUUUGGAACCCUGAGCAGACUGCCGGUGAUAAGCCGGAGGAAGGUGAGGAUGACGUCAAGUCAUCAUGUCCCUUAUGCCCUGGGCGACACACGUGCUACAAUGGCCGGGAUAAAGGGUCGCGAUCCCGCGAGGGUGAGCUAACUCCAAAAACCCGUCCUCAGUUCGGAUUGUAGGCUGGAACUCGCCUACAUGAAGCCGGAAUCGCUAGUAAUUGCCGGUCAGCCAUACGGCGGUGAAUUCGUUCC